rnacentral:rRNA from 1 species
CUACCCUUGACAUGCCUGGAAUCCUGCAGAGAUGCGGGAGUGCCCGAAAGGGAGCCGGGACACAGGUGCUGCAUGGCUGUCGUCAGCUCGUGUCGUGAGAUGUUGGGUUAAGUCCCGCAACGAGCGCAACCCUUGUCAUUAGUUGCUACGAAAGGGCACUCUAAUGAGACUGCCGGUGACAAACCGGAGGAAGGUGGGGAUGACGUCAAGUCCUCAUGGCCCUUAUGGGUAGGGCUACACACGUCAUACAAUGGCUGGUACAGAGGGUUGCCAACCCGCGAGGGGGAGCUAAUCCCAUAAAACCAGUCGUAGUCCGGAUCGUAGUCUGCAACUCGACUGCGUGAAGUCGGAAUCGCUAGUAAUCGCGGAUCAGCAUGUCGCGGUGAAUACGUUCCC